GUCAGCUCUGGUAUUCGUCUUGCUUUGUUCAGAAGAAGAUCUGGAUGUGUUUGACCUAAAGAAAUACUCUGCAUCAGAGGAGGCUCUUCCGGGGCUGCUGCCUGUGGACAAAGCCUCCAAGAAAGCUCUGUAAGUGGAUUUAUGAAUAAAACUGUCACGGUCUGGCUGGCAGACCGUGGGGAUGUGGGGAAAGGAGGACCCAGUCGCGGUACUCUGCGAUGCAAACGGUGCUCUUUAUUUACAGUGAGGUAACAGAUGCACAAUAAACCCCCUUUGCUCCCUAGACUCCCGUGUGUGUGUUCCCCUCUGACGUCCGUGCUCGUGCUCCCGGCAGUUGUGUUUCUGCACACCCUGUGCGUGCUGCCCUUCUGGUCCCUCGUUCCACCUGCAGGACAAUAACAGAAGCAGCCGUUAACACUGACCCCGCGCGUACACACGAUCCGUACUUCCGAAUGCUACACACACUGACUUGGAGUGUAGCUUAAUGAUCCCGCGCCGGUGGGAGCUCCAACACUCUCCUAAAUAGCUCCCCCGACGAGCCCUGAUCAGCACCAGGUGUGUGGCAGGGACUUCAGGUGUGGCCAGUCCUCCAGCAGGGCCACACCCAUCAGGCCUGCAGGUGGCUGUCCUCCAUCCUACAGCCACACCUAUACACCCACACCCUGCCUAUACAUAUAACGAGUGGACCACAGAAUAACACAGCAUUGUGCAGACAAACACACAUCCCCAAAUAACCAUAAUAAUAAUAAUAAUAAUAAUAAUGGUCCAUCCUGCUCACGGACCCCCGAGUCCUCCAGAGCCGGGUCCGUGACAAAAACAAAAGCUUUUUAUCGAACAAAGCUGCUCAUUUUUAAUUGUUUUUCAGGUUGAGUUGUUGUAACCUGUCAGAGAGAACUUGCAAAGCUCUGUCCUCGGCUCUAAGCUCAGAAACAUGUAUUCUGGGAGAACUAGACCUGAGUAACAACAACCUGCAAGAUUCAGGAGUGAAACUUCUUUCUGCUGGUCUGAUGAGUCCAAACUGGAAACUGGAAACUCUCAGGCUGUACUUCCCUGACCUCAGCUCUGAGCUCAAAUCAUUCCCACUUGAAAGAGCUUGACCUUCGCUACAAUCAUCCAGGAAAAUUAAAAGUGAGGCAGAGACUCAAAGAUCCACACUGGAAACUCAGGCUCGACCAUGGUGGACAGCAGUGGUUAAAACCUGGUCUGGGGAAGUAUUUCUGUGAAUUAAAAGUGGACACGACUUCAAUAAAUAAAAAACUCAAACUGUCUGACAACAACAUGAAGGUGACCGUUGUGGAGGACAAGCAGCCAUAUCCUGAUCAUCCAGACAGAUUUGACUGGUGGAAACAGCUUGUGCAAAAAUGGGCUGAUUGGUCGCUCUUACUGGGAAGUUGAGUGGAAAGGAGACAGUUUUAUAUCAGUGAGUUACAAAAGCAUCAGAAGAAGAGGAAACAGUGCCGACUGUAAAUUUGGGGAAAUGAUCAGUCCUGGAGUCUGAUGUGUUCUGAUGCUUUUGGUUACUCAUUCUGGCACAACAAUAGAGAAACACCCAUCUUCUCCUCCUCCUCCUCAGUCUCUCACAGUGUAGGGGUGUAUGUGGACUGUCCUGCUGGCACUCUGUCCUUCUACGGAGUCUCCUCUGGCACUCUGAUCCACCUCCACACCUUCAGCACCACAUUCACUGAACCUCUGUGUCCUGGGUUUGGACUGUGGUCCAGUGACUCAUCUGUGUUUCUGAGUCCUUUGUGUACUAACAAGUCUGUAGAGCUAGACUGUUUAGAAGAGACAGAAACUACAAGUCGAAAGCUGAAUGUGGAUGAUGUUUCUCUUUUGUUUGCUUUGAAUCACAUAUUCUGAGAUUGAUAUGUUGUGAUGUGAUUUUGCUUUGCAUGCUUAUCUCCUCACCACUUUACUUUGAACUCACUGAUUGUUAACCUCUAAUAUCUCUAAUAUCAGCACAUAAAUAUGUGGGGACGUCUGAAAUGUGCAAAAUCACAGGCUGAAGCCAAAUUUUGGAAGGCUCAGACUUUUUAAAUGUCACCAUUACUGUUGGAUAUAAAAGUUGGCAGUGCCCAUUUUACGGCUGUUUACUGCAGGAGCAUAACUGUAAUGUUUUUGUAAACUUUAACAGUUUACUGUUUACACAAUAAUAAUAAUAAACACAUUACUUUUGCAUUUCAGAUAAAAUAGCAUGUCAACAGAAAAGGGUUUACCUUUUCUGUUGACAUGCUAUUUUAUCUCAAGAUUAACUAUUUUUAAAGACUAUGAUGUUUGUGAAUUAAUGGUUGCAGUUUUAUAAAUCUAAGAAACAUUUAAAGGUUUUAGUUCAAGUAAUGUUAAAAGCUGUUUUACAAAGUGCCAAAAAUUGUAAAUCAUUCAGUAAUCAUUAAUAAAGCUUAAACAUAUCAAAUGUUCCAUGAGGGCAAGAAUAAACUGUUAAUGCUUUACUUAUAAUAUUAACAUAAGUAAAAGUCUAUAUGUUGUGUUUAUUUUCAUAUAUAUGUGUUGUUUAUAUUUGUCACCAGCAGUGUGGCUGAUUACUUGAC